AUUUUGAAUGUUAUCUCAAUGUAGCCACUGCGCCAGCACUUGGGAGCAGAGCACAUCCGAUGACGAAGCCCAUGGGGGAUCCAACUGGGAAAAACGUGAUGUGCAUGGCUAAUGAUGCGGUUCGAACCCAUAUUUAAUUGCAUUUUGACGGCUGUACAUCAACACAAUGGAUAAGUCAAUUAAAGGCCACAACCGGAAUCGCAAAAAAAACUUGGUGGGCAAAUGCGUUGCACUUCUGAUGUAUACAAUUGAGCGGAGAAGAGGCCAAGGCUCGUACCCCUAUCCCUAUAUGGUAGGGUUGGUUAUCCCAGAGAUGCGAUGUGCAUAGUCCCAAUUCGAAUUCGUUUGUUACACAUUUUAUUGCUGAUAUUUUUGUUUAACUAAAUACAACAUUUCUCUUUGCCUUAUGCACAUUUUAUAAUGUA